UAUUAGUCACUAAAGCUAUACACAAACAAAGAAAAUAUAAUAUGUAGAUUGUAGGUACUACAUAGGUCUGGCUAUUUUUUUAAGGAGGUUUUCUGUGCCCAAAUGCCUCGUAAACAUAUAGCAAAGUACAUUGGUCAACUUCAAUACGUAGAGUCCGAUUUUUCUUGCUAUGUGUGUCCACUAGAAAAAUAUUAUAUCUAUUAUUCCAAAACUAAAUCCAUACAUUUUGUAACAAAAUUGUAUAGGUACUUUAUGCAGGAAAUACUCACACUGAUGGGAGGAAGAGAAAACG